CUUGACAACAAUAAUUCUCUGCUCACAAUCGUUUAUCGUUAGUAAUGGUUUAUUAAAUCGCUCUACGUGUACUCCCUUUCGAUUUCCCACCUAAAACUGUAGUGGCAUACCCAUUAGCAGUAUUGGCUUCUUUAAAUAUAUAACGUCAAAGUGUUUACAGAUUGUUACGUUUACGUCCGUUUUACGCAUCUUCUCCACAAGCAACAUAAUAUGUCGUAGUUAUCCACUAUUAUCGAGAAUUUCUU